rnacentral:rRNA from 2 species
UCCGCCCGGGGACUACAAGCAUAAGCUUAAAACCCAAAGGACUUGGCGGUGCUUUAGACCCACCUAGAGGAGCCUGUUCUAAAACCGAUAACCCUCGUUAAACCUCACCCUUUCUUGUUAAAUUUUACCGCCUAUAUACCGCCGUCGUCAGCUUACCUUGUGAAAGAACAAUAGUAAACAAAAGUGGUCUAACCCAAAACGUCAGGUCGAGGUGUAGCGAAUGAAGGGGGAAGAAAUGGGCUACAUUUCCUAAUACAGGAAAUCACGGAAUAUUAUUAUGAAAAAGUAUAUGAAGGAGGAUUUAGCAGUAAACGGGAAGCAGAGUGCCCC